rnacentral:lncRNA from 1 species
GAAUUGAACUCAGGACCUCUGGAAAAGCAAUCAGUGCUCUUAACCACUGAGCCAUCUCUCUAGCCCCUGCAAACAGAUUUUUAGUUGAACUAUGGUAUGUCUAUCUUAAUACUUUUUUGCAUUUAUUUUUAUAGAAAUUAUUCCUUAUUAACAUUUCUCCCAUUUUCCAGUGUCAUUAAAUAACAAAUGAUAAAAUUUGCAGUCUUAAUCAUUUUAAAUGUACAGUUGAGUGGUAGUCAGUACCAUCACACCAUUUAUCUUCAGAGUUGUGUUCAUUUUACAAAGCUAAAACUCUAUCCCUUUGGUGACUUCCCACUUGCCCUCCCUUCAGCCUCUAAAGGUCACUCCUCUUCCUCACUGCUGUGACUGUUGUAUAAAUUGAAUCAUAAGCUGUCUCUUCACAUAGCACAGUAGCUCCUUGGAACAUGUCUUAGAAUUCCUUCCUUUUUAAGACUGGAUAAACUGAUUACAUUUGUAUAUGCCCUGUUAUCCAUUCAUCAGUCUGUCUCCAGGCUUUUAUUUUCAUUUCUAAUUGUGUAAAUCGAAUUGCGUUUUGGGAGAUGCAAUGGUUUAGUUGCGGCCAUAAAAAUGGGAGCUUUUGCCACACUUAUGCUAUGUGUAGCCACACUGUAUAUUUGUACUUUUUGUGUUUUACUGCUUUCUUUCUGUUUUGGUUUAUUUUAUUUGGAACUUGACAAAAUUACUUUGUUUAUAGUGAUAUUAUAGAUUAUAUAUUAAAAGAAAAUUCUUGG